CGCAAGCCUGACGGAGCAACGCCGCGUGAGGGAGGAAGGCCUGUGGGUUGUAAACCUCUUUUCUCAAGGAAGAACACAAUGACGGUACUUGAGGAAUCAGCAUCGGCUAACUCCGUGCCAGCAGCCGCGGUAAGACGGAGGAUGCAAGCGUUAUCCGGAAUUAUUGGGCGUAAAGCGUCCGUAGGUGGCUUAGAAAGUCUGUUGUUAAAUCCCACAGCUCAACUGUGGAUCGGCAAUGGAAACUACUAGGCUUGAGUGUGGUAGGGGUAGAGGGAAUUCCUAGUGUAGCGGUGAAAUGCGUAGAUAUUAGGAAGAACACCAGUGGCGAAGGCGCUCAACUGGGCCAUAACUGACACUCAGGGACGAAAGCUAGGGUAGCG
rnacentral:rRNA from 1 species